rnacentral:rRNA from 1 species
UACGAACCGUCCAAACGUUAUUCGGAAUUACUGGGCUUAAAGGGUACGUAGGCGGCGCUGUCAGUCGGGUGUGAAAGCCCUCGGCUCAACCGAGGAAUUGCGCCCGAUACUGCAGUGCUUGAGGGAGACAGAGGUAAGCGGAACUGAUGGUGGAGCGGUGAAAUGCGUUGAUAUCAUCAGGAACACCGGUGGCGAAAGCGGCUUACUGGGUCUCUUCUGACGCUGAGGUACGAAAGCUAGGGUAGCGAAG